GUUUCCGUAGGUGAACCUGCGGAAGGAUCAUUAUUGAGCUUAUCCAUUUACUUGGAUUCAAAUGAAUCGAGCUGAAUUUUCGCUGUUCGUUUCAAAGCGUUGUAUUCUCUCAACUAACGGCUAUGAAUGGUUUCUAUAGGUGUCUGGAGCAGUUGUAUGAGCGUGACUGUGGUGAUGGACAUUUUGGUGGCUCCUUAGUCGGGUCACUAGAAUUAAAGAAGUCUGUUAUGACUCGCCGUUCUUAAAAAACUUCAAUUAACGUUUGAUCAAUUUGACUGCACCAGCCGUAGGUGUACUUAAAGAUUUAUCAAGUCUUGUCGGUGGAUCACUCGGUUCGUAGUUCGAUGAAAAACGGGGCAAAAACCGUUAUUUGGCGUGAAUUGCAGACAUAUUGAACGCUAAAAUUUUGAACGCAAAUGGCACUAUCAGGUUUAUAUCUGUUAGUAUGUUUGGUUGAGGGUCGAUUAAUUCGUAACCUGCAGUCUGCUGUGACUGUUUUUUCGAUUAGUUAUUUGGUUUUUUUAUCGAGUACCUUUUUGGAAUGUGAAUUUGAUUGUCUAAUUCGUUUCCUAAUCGAAACGAGCUAUUUUUUAUUUCUGUGCAAUGUAUUUUUGGUGUUUCGGCGUUUUUCUUGCCGACUGAUUGGUACAAACUUAACAGUUCGUAUAUUUUUCAGAAUUUUUCAGAGGCCCUUACAAUACAUCACUUGACACAACACGUAUCGUUUGUCGAGGAAUUGGGCAAGAAAGAAACUUUUCGUUUUACGACCUCAACUCAAGCAAGAUUACCCGCUGAACUUAAGCAUAUA
rnacentral:rRNA from 1 species